AUUACAACUAAAUAGCCAUAGACAGUAGGUGCUUAUAGGCUUAAUAACCUACUUAGGCAAUAGUGUUUUGUAUAUAACCUAUUAUGCGUCUAUGGACUAUUUAAUAGGUUUUUUAUUUGA
rnacentral:sRNA from 1 species